UGUGUGAGCCAGUGAGUAUCAACUCUUGAUGAGGAAAUGUACAGUCAGCAAGGAUUAAACACACAGGAGAAAGACGUGACGAGGGGAAAGACAAGGCGGAGGAAGGAGAGGAAGAAAAGAAAGAAGAGAGCAAAUAGGCCAAAAUUAGCGGAAAGAUAAAACGGUGGAAAAGAUUUAUUCAUCUGAUACGUCUAAAUGUUCAGAAGCUCCAGACCCCUCUGUGCUGCAGUCCUUAUCUAUGAUGCAGAGGUGUUGACAUCCUGACCUACCAGUAGGAGUCACUACUGCAGUGACAGGAUGUGAUUCCUCUGUGACUUCCUACCUGUGAACCAAUAAUACCAAUCGUGUUUGUUGGAAAUCAAGACCAAGACAAGCAAACAUUAGCAUCCAAACAUUAGCAGGGAUUCAGACACCGAAUCCAACGACAACACGUCUGGAUGCACCGGACCACUGCUGGUGGGUGACGUACUUCGAGUUGGGCGCUGCUUGGUUUUUGCUCUGCCGUUUUCAACAUGAUGUCACAGACUUUCUCAUUUUACAGUUAAACAGUAAACUGAAUAUGUUUCUGAAAACUUUUGAGGUGUAAAAUAGGCAAUAUAGUAACAGAAUCUUUAUUCAUAUUUGAUCAUCAUUGCUUAGUUUGAUAGUUUGAGUUUUGGGUUGCACUGGAGGGACCUCAUUUGCAUGAAGUUGAGGUUGAGUUGUGAUCAUGCAAAUUCAAAUAUGGCUGUUGGUCCGUCAACAUGCUGUGCCGUAUCCAUCAUGCACCAUGUGGCCAGAUCUCCUGCUCUCCAUAGAAAAUGAACGGGAUCCGUCGAUUUGACAUCCAGUGUGUCUGCACCAUUACAGACAGGAUUUUACAACUCUGGAGAGUUAGCAUGGUGGUAAUUAUUUUAUCUUUCGUCACAACAAUAGCGAGGUAAACAGCAGUAACACAACAUUCAUGUUACAAAAGGUAAUCUACAAGGGAUCUUGCUGUGCAGCACUUUGGAAACCUUGUGUUUGUUAAAAUCGUGCUAUAUAAAUAAAGUGGAUUGGAUUGGAUUG